GUAAAAGUUACUAAGAGCAUACGGCGGAUGCCUUGGCACAGGAAGGCGAUGAAGGACGCGGUUACCGGCGAAAUGCCCCGGAUAGGUGGAAGCAACCUUAGACCCGGGGGUAUCCGAAUGGGGCAACCCGUGCAGAGUAAUGUCUGUACACUAUGCACUGAAUUCAUAGGUGCAUAAGAGCUAACCCGGGGAACUGAAAUAUCUAAGUACCCGGAGGAAAAGAAAAUAAUUGUCCCGAUUUAUCGGGACAGCAUUUCCCAAGUAGCGACGAGCGAAAAGGAAACAGCCUAAACCUUUUGGUGUGUUAAAGACUCGAAUCGUUGCACCAUAGGUGUUGCGGGACUUUCAGGGCGGAUUUCGAGUACGCCCGGGAGUUACAAACCAAUCUGUUAGUUGAACGGCCUGGAACGGCCGGCCAUAGAGCGUGAAAGCCGCGUAAACGAAAACAGUGUUGGCUCCCGAAAGUAUCCCAAGUACCACGGAGUAAGUGGAAUUCUGUGGGAAUCUGCGAGAACCAUCUCGUAAGGCUAAAUACUCAUCUGUGACCGAUAGUGAACAAGUACCGUGAGGGAAAGGUGAAAAGCACUCCUUACAGGAGGGUGAAAUAGUACCUGAAACCGUAUGCUUACAAACGGUAGGAGUCUGCUGAGACCGGCUUGCCGGUCUUGGAGGAUGACUGCGUGCCUUUUGCUUAAUGAACCAACGAGUUGCUCGUGUCAUGCAAGGAUAAAUCCUUUAGGGAUGCAUCCGCAGCGAAAGCAAGUCCGAAAUGGGCGUGCCCCCGUAAGGGGGUCCAGUAUGAUGCGGCAGACGCGAAACCAGUGUGAUCUAGCCUUGGCCAGGAUGAAGCAAGGGUAACACCUUGUGGAGGUCCGAACCAGUGUGGGUUGAAAACCGCUUGGAUGAGCUGAGGCUAGGAGCGAAAGACUAACCAAACUUGGAGAUAGCUCGUUCUCCUCGAAAUAGCUUUAGGGCUAGCCUCGGAUAAUAGUAUUACGGAGGUAGAGCACUGAUUGGGGUAGGGCUGUCACAACGGUACCAAACCCAGACAAACUCCGAAUUCCGUCAAUAUGUUUUCCGGGAGUCAGGCAGUGGGGGAUAAGCUUCAUUGCCAAAAGGGAAAGAACCCAGACCACCUGCUAAGGCCCCCAAGUCUAUGUUAACAGACUAAGGAUGUUAGAUUGCUCAGACAACUAGGAUGUUGGCUUAGAAGCAGCCACUCAUUUAAAGAGUGCGUAAUAGCUCACUAGUCAAGCGAUCUAGCGCCGAUAAUACUCGGGACUUAAACAUAGCGCCGAAGCAGUGGAUUCCGACACUUGUGUCGGGAUGGUAGAGGAGCAUUCUGUCUGCGAGCUCAGUUAUGAGCAGCCUUCGGGCUGAAGGCGCACAGUGAUGUGUGUUGGAGCGGACAGAAAAGAAGAUGUUGGUAUAAGUAACGAUAAUCCAGAUGGGAAAUCUGGACACCGAAAAUCUAAGGGUUCCUGAGCAACGUUAAUCGUCUCAGGGUCAGUCGGUCCCUAAGCCGAGGCCGAAAGGCGUAGGUGAUGGGAAACAGGUCAACAUUCCUGUACCACCGAAAUUUAAACUUAAGUGACGCAGAAGUGAAAGGAGAGCCGCCUGCUGGAUUAGGCGGUCUAAGGGCGUAGUUGCGGGCAACCGUAACAAAACCCGAACGGGAUGGCGCAAGCCUACAAACUUUCCCUAAUCAUACUGCCAAGAAAAGCUUAGGUGUAUACUAAGGUGACCGUACCGUAAACCGACACAGGUAGAUGGGGAGAGAAUCCUAAGGUGCUCGAGUGAGCCGUGGCUAAGGAACUCGGCAAAUUGACCCCGUAACUUCGGGAUAAGGGGUGCUCCGAUUUAUCGGAGCCGCAGAGAAACGAGCCAAGCGACUGUUUAACAAAAACACAUGUCUAUGCUAAGCCGUGAAGGCGCUGUAUAUGGACUGACACCUGCCCGGUGCUGGAAGGUUAAGGGGAGAGGUCAUUCUGGCGUAAGCCGGAAGAAGCUUUGAACCGAAGCCCCAGUAAACGGCGGCCGUAACUAUAACGGUCCUAAGGUAGCGAAAUUCCUUGUCGGGUAAGUUCCGACCUGCACGAAUGGUGUAACGAUUUGGUUACUGUCUCGGCCACGGGCUCGGUGAACUUGUGGUACCGGUGAAGACGCCGGUUACCCGCAUAUGGACGGAAAGACCCCGUGCACCUUUACUGCACCCUAGCACUGGAUUCGGGUAAUCUAUGUGUAGAAUAGGUGGGAGACUUUGAAGCGGCGGCGCUAGCCGUCGUGGAGUCACAAUGUGAAAUACCACCCUUGGCUUAUUUGAACUCUAACCCGGGCCCUUGAAUCAGGGUCGGGAACACUGUUAGGCGGGUAGUUUGACUGGGGCGGUCGCCUCCUAAAUUGUAACGGAGGCUCCCAAAGGUAUCCUCAACCUGGUUGGUAAUCAGGUGGUGAGCGUAAACGUAUAAGGAUGCUUAACUGCGAGACAUACAGGUCGAGCAGAUGCGAAAGCAGGGGUUAGUGAUCCGACGGUUCCGAGUGGAAGGGCCGUCGCUCAAAGGAUAAAAGG
rnacentral:rRNA from 1 species